rnacentral:rRNA from 1 species
UACGAGGGGGGCAAGCGUUGUUCGGAAUUAUUGGGCGUAAAGGGCGCGUAGGCGGUGCGGUAAGUCUGAUGUGAAAUCUCCGGGCUCAACUCGGAGUCUGCAUCAGAAACUGCCGUGCUCGAGUGUGGGAGAGGUGAGUGGAAUUCCCGGUGUAGCGGUGAAAUGCGUAGAUAUGCGGAGGAACACCGAUGGCGAAGGCAAUCCCCUGGGCCUGCACUGACGCUCAUGCACGAAAGCGUGGGGAGCAAACAGG